rnacentral:rRNA from 1 species
UACGAAGGGGGCUAGCGUUGCUCGGAAUCACUGGGCGUAAAGGGUGCGUAGGCGGGUCUUUAAGUCAGGGGUGAAAUCCUGGAGCUCAACUCCAGAACUGCCUUUGAUACUGAAGAUCUUGAGUUCGGGAGAGGUGAGUGGAACUGCGAGUGUAGAGGUGAAAUUCGUAGAUAUUCGCAAGAACACCGGUGGCGAAGGCGGCCCACUGGAUCGGUACUGACGCUGAGGUGCGAAAGCUAGGGGAGCAAACGGG